ACAAGCUGCCCCCGUGGGUUGGCUCGGAGGAUGGGGGAGGAGGCCGGCGUGGUCCUCGCGCUUCGGGGCCUUGUGGGGGCAAAAGGCGGGAAAAGGGGUGCGAGCGCUCCAUCGGCCAGACUUGUUUCUGCUGCCUGUUACCAAGAGUUCUACCCAGCUGACUCUAUUACCCUGCUGUGGUGACCACUGACUGCCCGUGUGACUCGGCCUCCUCUCUCCCCUGGACUCCCCUAGCAUGGUGCCUGACGCUGACCUGACGUUUGUUGAAUUCCCCAUUUGAGGAUUCCGUUGUCUCAGACCUCGCACAAGUGGCUUACCGCUCCCUUCCUACUUCCCUGAGCCCAUCCCGUCUCCUGGUUUCCUGCCGGGGUUGCUGCCAUCGCCUUUUCCUAGACUUGCAGGUGGCCUCUGGACAUCUUCCAGCUGACUGCACCCCCUGGGUCCCGGGAGCCUGUCCAGGGUCAGAGAUGGAAACUCAAGUCUUCCCUUCCUUUGCCCCCUUAAACUGCAUUCUUUUUUUUUUUUUUUUUUUUUUAAGAUUUUAUUUGAGAGGUAGAGUUACAGACAGAGAGAGGGAAAGGUCUUCCAUCUGCUGGUUCACUCCCCAGUUGGCCACUGGGCUGAUCUGAAGCCAGAAGCUUCUUGCAGGUUUCUCAUGUGGGUGUAGGGGCCCAAGUACUCGGGCCAAGUUUCACUGCUUUCCCAGGCCAUAGCAGAGAGCUGGAUUGGAAGUGGAGCAGCCGGGACUUGAACUGGUGCCCAUAUGGGAUGCUGGCGCCACAGGCGGAGGUUUUACCCAUCAUGCUAUAGCGCUGGACCCUUAAGCUGCAUUCUUGAAGGCUCUUGUGUGUUCCCCGUCCUGCUUAUUGCUAUUCUUAUUAAAUCUGGGGCUGGUGCUAUGGCAUAGCUGGCUAAGCCGCUGCCUGUAAAACUGGCAUCCCAUAUGGGUGCCAAGUUCAAGUCCCGGCUGCUCCACACCCUAUCCAACUCUCUGCUAAUGCACCUGGGAAAGCAGCAGAAGAUGGCCCAAGUCCUGAUACCACUGCCACCCACGUGGGAGACUGGGAUGGAGUUCCAGGAUCCUGACUUCAGCCUGGCUGUCUUGGCCAUUGUGGCCAUUAAGGGCAUGAACCAAUGGAUAGAAUAUCUCUGUACUUCCCUCUGUCUGUAACUCUGCCUUUCAAAUAAGUACAUGAAUCUUUAAAACAACCUGAGAACGCUUUUUGGCGAUGGCCUCCGAGUUGGUUCAUGAGAAAGCCUAGCGAUGACCGACAUGGCCAAGGACCCUUGGGUUCUUAAAGCACUUGGCCUUCCACAGAGAAGAGAGGCAGAAGACGAGAGUCUGGGACGUGGGUGUUUGCAAAGUCCCUUCACCUGCAGACCCUGGGGAGCCAACCGCCUCCCACAGCGUGCUCACCUUUCGUGUGUCUCUCCACCCAGUCAUUGAUGAUGAACCUGGCCCUCUGCACAUCGGAAAAGUCCACCUGCUUGACCGUGGUUCGGAACAAUCUGAAGAAGUGGGGCAUGAAGCCCUGGACCAGCUUCAGGUCGCGCUGCACGAAGAUGGCAUCCGUGGUACUGAUCUCAUCCUUGUUCCAGGGCCCCAUGAGCUCCUUGUGCAGGUGGCGGAGGGCGGGGGCCGUGCUCUGCUCUGUGCCGAGGCAAGGAGGACAGGACACAUUAGGCUCAUACUAAUCCAGGGGCUCCCGGCAGAGCCGUCUCCCCCCGAGAGACGCAGUCCUGGACAGAGCGCUUCUGACCCCGGACUCAUCUCAUCACUUAAUCUCUUCUGGAGCUCAACUCCUGACCCUUUCUUGGGGUUGAAUAUUUUUCUCAGUUCUUAAGUUAUGGGCCCUAAAUUUUCCCCUACAAUAACAGCUGUGCUGAGCCUCUCA